rnacentral:rRNA from 1 species
GUGUUAAUGACGCUGAGGGUCCACCUGUUCCCAUACCGAACACAGAAGUUAAGCUCAGUGGUGCCGAAAAUACUUGGCUGGCGACGGCCCGGGAAAAUAGGGAGAUGCC